AAGCUAGCAGGAAGUUGGUGAGGCUACCGGGAAGUUAGCUAACAAGAAGCUAGCCAGGCUACCUACGCUGGAGAACAUUUACAGAAUUUAAAGACUCACCCUGCACCACGAGAGUAGCCAGAGAGGCGGCGCUGCCCACGCUACUGGAUGCGUAGCACACAUAUUGUCCAGAGUCUUCCGCGGUCAAGCUGUCCAAGACCAGACUGCACGUGCCAGAGCGCUCGGCUGUGAUGAUGUGACGAGGAUCGUCUUCCAAAGGCCGGACACACCCAUCCCUGGCGAGCAGGGUUGGUUUUGGUGGGUUUGGUCCUCACCAGCCAUUUGUCUGGAUGGACCGAGUCCAGGACCUCCACAUAUUGACCCUCCUUCAGAAGGAAACUGUCCUUACUUCCACUGUUGGGGUUGCAGUCUGCUCGAGCCACGUACAUUUCAAAAGUCUGGAGAGUACAAAGCAUCUCCCCCGCCAGCCGCCAUUCCGCCGCCAUGCCAGCUUUGGAGACCUCGCAAGACAGCGUGACGUUGUGUCCCUCCUCCGCCUGAAGGUUCUUCAGCUUUUGCUUGAAGGUGACCGGGACCACUGGGAAGCAGGAGCAGGAGUGUAAAGGCAACACCCACUCCAAAAGAAGCACCAGCUUCAGGCGUGUUGAGGGACGACGUAAAUACAUCGGAAGUUACAGAAUACGUAGGUGUCUUCAUCCGAGGAGCAUACGUCGUCGAUGGUGAGCUGCCUGAAGACGUCUUGGCAGAUCAGAUGGUACUUCUUGCCGGACUGGAGCUCCCGCCUGUUCUUGUACCAUCGGACUUGAGCGUUGGCCCGGGACACCUGGCACUCCAGCAGACCUCUGUGGUGGUACAUGGCGAUCUUGACCCUCAGGGGGCGCACUAUUUGGACCGGGAGCUCUGAGGAUUGAGAAAACAGGCAAUAUUGUAGCAUAUUUUUAAGAUGAUCUCGAAAAGGGAUGUAACGAUCGAUCAGUCAAUCGAUGUUUACUUAUAUAUUCCUAAAUCACGAGUGUCUCAAAAGGCUGCACAAGCCACAACGACAUCCUCGGCUCAGAUCCCACAUCAGGGCAAGGAAAAACACAACCCAGUUGGACAAUGAGAAACCUUGGAGUGGACCACAGAUGUGGGGACCUCCCCUGGGCGACCGGUGCAAUGAACGUCGAGUGAAUCUAACAUAAAAUAGUGAGAGUCCAGUCCGUAGUGGAUCUAACAUAAUAGUGUGAGAGUCCAGUCCAUAGUGGAUCUAACAUAAUAGUGAGAGUCCAGUCCGUAUUGGAUCUAACAUAAUAGUGUGAGAGUCCAGUUCAUAGUGGAUCUAACACAAUAGUGAGAGUCCAGUCCGUAGCUGGUCUAACAUAAUAGUGUGAGACUGGGACUUGGAGGUGCUGAUCUAGCACAAUAUCAUGAGAGUCCAGUUCAUAGUGGAUCUAACACAAUAGUGACAGUCCAGUCCAUAGUGGAUCUAACAUAAUAGUGUGAGAGUCCAGUCCUUAGUGGAUCUAACACAAUAUCAUGAGAGUCCAAUCCAUAGUGGAUCUAACAUAAUAGUGAGUCCAGUCGAUAGUGGAUCCAACACAUUAGUGAGAGUCCAGUCCAUAGUGGAUCUAGCACAAUAUCAUGAGAGUCCAGCUCAUAGUGGAUCUAACACAAUAGUGAGAGUCCAGUCCUUAGCUGGUCUAACAUAAUAGUGUGAGAGUCCAGUCCAUAGUGGAUCUAGCACAAUAUCAUGAGAGUCCAGUUCAUAGUGGAUCUAACACAAUAGUGAGUCCAGUCCAUAGUGGAUCUAACACAAUAGUGUGAGAGUCCAGUUCAUAGUGGAUCUAACAUAAUAGUGAGUCCAGUCCUUAGUGGAUCUAACACAAUAUCAUGAGAGUCCAGUUCAUAGUGGAUCUAACAUAAUAGUGAGUCCACUCCAUAGUGGAUCUAACACAUUAGUGAGAGUCCAGUCCAUAGUGGAUCUAGCACAAUAUCAUGAAAGUCCAGCUCAUAGUGGAUCUAACACAACAGUGAGAGUCCAGUCCGUAGCUGGUCUAACAUAAUAGUGUGAGAGUCCAGUCCAUAGUGGAUCUAGCACAAUAUCAUGAGAGUCCAGUUCAUAGUGGAUCUAACACAAUAGUGAGUCCAGUCCAUAGUGGAUCUAACACAAUAGUGUGAGAGUCCAGUCCAUAGUGGAUCUAACAUAAUAGUGAGUCCAGUCCAUAGUAGAUCUAACACAAUAGUGUGAGAGUCCAGUCCAUAGUGGAUCUAACAUAAUAGUGAGUCCAGUCCAUAGUAGAUCUAACACAAUAGUUUGAGAGUCCAGUCCAUAUUGGAUCUAGCACAAUAUCAUGAGAGUCCAGUUCAUAGUGGAUCUAACAUAAUAGUGUGAGAGUCCAGUCCAUAGUGGAUCUAACAUAAUAGUGUGAGAGUCCAGUCCAUAGUGGAUCUAGCAUAAUAGUGUGAGAGUCCUGUCCAUAGUGGAUCUAACACAUAUCAUGAGAGUCCAGUUCAUAGUGGAUCUAACAUAAUAGUGAGUCCAGUCCAUAGUGGAUCUAACAUAAUAGUGUGAGAGUCCAGUCCAUACUGGAUCUAGCACAAUAUCAUGAGAGUCCAGUUUGUAGUGGAUCUAACAUAAUAGUGAGUCCAGUCCAUAGUGGAUCCAACAUAAUAGUGUGAGAGUCCAGUCCAUAGUGGAUCUAACACAUUAUCAUGAGAGUCCAGUUCAUAGUGGAUCUAACAUAAUAGUGAGAGUCCAGUCCAUAGUGGAUCAAGCAUAAUAGUGAGAGUCCAACGUGUCCUAGGUCUUCUCUGUGGCCUCCUGAUGGUCGGACGUGCCCUAAACACUUCCCUCGGGUGGCAUCCUGACCAGAUGCCCGAACCACCUCAUCUGGCUCCUCUCCAUGUGGAGGAGCAGCGGCUUUACUUUGAGUUCCUCCCGGAUGGCAGAGCUUCUCACCCUAUCUCUAAGGGAGAGACACAAACUCAUUUGGGCCGCUUGUACCCGUGAUCUUGUCCUUUCGGUCAUGACCCAAAGCUCAUGACCAUAGGUGAGGAUGGGAACGUAGAUCGACCGAUAAAUUGAGAGCUUUGCCUUCCGGCUCAGCUCCUUCUUCACCACAACGGAUCGAUACAGCGUCCGCAUUACUGAUGACGCCGCACCGAUCCGCCUGUCGAUCUCACGAUCCACUCUUCCCUCACUCGUGAACAAGACUCCGAGGUACUUGAACUCCUCCACUUGGGGCAGGGUCUCCUCCCCAACCCGGAGAUGGCACUCCACCCUUUUCCGGGCAAGAACCAUGGACUGGGACUUGGAGGUGCUGAUUCCCAUCCCAGUCACUUCGCAAUCGGCUAUGAACCGUUCCAGUGAGAGCUGAAGAUCCUGGCCAGAUGAAGCCAUCAGGACCACAUUCUGCAAAAAGCAGAGACCUAAUCCUGGUAGCCACCAAACCGGAUCCCCUCAACACCUUGACUGCGCCUAGAAAUUCAAUCAAUCAAUCAAUGUUUAUUUAUAUAGCCCCAAAUCACAAAUGUCUCAAAGGACUGCACAAAUCAUUACGACUACAACAUCCUCGGAAGAACCCACAAAAGGGCAAGGAAAACUCACACCCAGUGGGCAGGGAGAAUUCACAUCCAGUGGGACGCCAGUGACAAUGCUGACUAUGAGAAACCUUGGAGGGGACCUCAGAUGUGGGCA